rnacentral:lncRNA from 1 species
UUGACAUAUUUGACUCCAGGGAUAUGUUAACUACGUAAUAGCCCCCAACGCAUCAAGCAAGCAAACCCAAUUGAACAUCUGGAGGUCUUCGAAUGUAACCCAAAGCCACGAUAUUUCUGGGGAACAGACAACGGCCCCAACCAACUGGCAGAUUUGAUCAAGAUCUACAGUGGGGUAACCAUAUGUGUAAGAGGAACCCUCAAAAUAGCUAUGUUUAUGUAGUCAUACAACGCCGGAGGUAGGGUUCCUACAUUAAACCUCACAGCCUCAUUUCCCCGAUUUUCAUCAUCAACGUCAACUUACUCAUGCAGUUGGUAAAGGAUACGGGCCUGAACUUCACGUGGAUGACGCUCUAAUGUGAUGUUCCUAUGAAUACCAACAAUGUGAGGUCAUGGAUUUAGUUUACAAUUGGUCAAAUAGUACUUACCAUGACCCUUCCAGAUUCGAUUCUCGUCAUGUUUGUCAUUCUGAAUCCUUCCAACCACAGAAUCUUCUGCUAUGACGUAGGGAAAUGACGUAGGGAAAUGACAACGACUUCAAUCGGAUCAUGUAGUAGAAUAAUGUCUAGGUUGAAAUAUAAAAGGGUAUCAGAUUUCUGUCUAGCAACAAACAAUCAUAUUGUCAAAUCACUCCACCAACGAAUCAUUAAUUCUAGCCAAUGGUACCUAGGUAAUGGCCAGUAUGAUAUUUCCGUUGGACAAGUACCUUGAUACCAAAAAGAUAGGCUUGCUUCCGUUCAAGGUCGCCGCCUGCACGGCAAUUGGCAGGACUAUAUGCUCCUAGACGCGUUACAUAGGCAGCACCGAUAUGAAUAUCUAGCUCUCCUGUGGCUUUGCAUCUGAACCAUCAUUCAUUGGUCGAGUCAUCCAUCCCAUAACCAAGAAAAGCCUCUUACCUCAUUGCUAGGUAUGGAGCGAGCGCCUCGACAAUAUCAAAGUUGCCUAGAUACUUAAAUACAAUGCAGUGCAUAUCAUUGGUAGAGUUCGUUUGUGAAUAUGGAAAAUACCGUCGUUGAGAAUUUAGAUUCGAAGAUUAUUUAGAAAUUAAGGAAGUAAGCUUCCAUGAUUUCAUGGUGGAUAUAACAUUUCCAUCAGAACCAACCUUGGAAGGGGCUACAUGUACGGUAGAGGCCCGAGCAAGCCCUAAACUCUAUCUACUCUGGGAGGCAUAGCAUAGCUAUCCAGUCAGAUUAGACGGCUUACAUCCAGCACCAUGAAUCAAGGGGGAAUUCAAAGAUCAACGAAUAUUGUGAUACAUCACAAUUGAUAUAUCGAGAGUGAGAAAUUGGAUACUUGCCGGAGUAGGUAACAUACAAUGGGGGGCCAAAUACCGGAUAACUAGCUAUUGUGGACCGAAACAUGCUCGUGCUAGGAACGGACCCGUGGUGCUCAGAUCGCGGAACAACUAAGCAAUCUUGGAAGUGGUACCUGGCUUGUUUAGAGUAUUUACACGUAGCCGAGGAAGCAUAAUCACCGGAGAAACGGAGGGCAGUGAGAUCGAGAGGAGCGCCCAAGCUGGAGAGCACACCCUUAAAAGUUCAUUCUUCUUACCCAUACUAGACUUAGGGUGGUGGAAGUACACACAUUUAGCCAACGGCAAAACAUGGCGAAGAUACGGAUGGGGAAGGUGAUGAAACCAGGAAAGAUCGGCACACAGCCACUGACAAGAGGUAAUACCAAGCCAACAAUAAAUAUACAUAGUAUAGUAUAGUAUACAUACUGCAUAUGUACAUCCCAUCGGAAAGCUGUAUUGUUCCGUAGAUUGUAGUUCAUCGUGCAUUUUUCGUUGGCCGCGAAUCCAAUCGAGUAAAUGAAUGAAUGAUAGAGAAUGAGCUCAGCACAUGCUUACCUAGGUACAGACUAAGGUAUGUAACCGCCUUCGUUUCGGUAGAUAUGACUCCGAGAAUUUGGGGCCAAGUGGAGUCUGUAACGGUGACAGAUCCGUGGAAGUUUAGUUUUACACUUUGUCAGCGGCUUACUCCGUGCAACGAAAUGGGCUUGAUGAGAUGAGUCUUGAGUAGUUGAUGCUGAUUCGCUCAGAGACCAAGGAAAAAAUCUCUCCGUAGCUGUCGAGAGUCAAGACUGGACAAGAACGGAGAAUAUGCUGUACGCAUCCUUUUACUCCGUGACCGACAAGGACCGUGGGUUGGUAAGAAAUUAAAAAUACUAAUCUGGGCCAAACUUUAAAGCAUUCGGAUCUCAUAGCGAAAACAAACGACGCAUUCCCAUUGGCCAUCGGCACUGCGCCCGAACCACGAGGCGCAUCUCAAGUAACUCAUAUAGGCAUGAAUCUACCGAAAUACGUUCCUGUAACAGUGUAACGGUGUAGUAGAGCUGCUCCCACAGAAAGAAUGAUACGGGCAGGACGGACCGAGGGACAAGUGACAGACAAGACUAUCACAGCUCCCAGGUUGAGAUUCUCGGCAGCAAGCGGCGACCAUGCCCGUAACCAAGUUAGCGGCAGGAUUGGAUCUCAUAAGGCGGGCGGACAGCCAAUUGCACGUGUACAGGCGGGGACUGCAAAUACAGGGCAAUAAUACAGACUAGCAAUGCGGUAUUGGUAAUUCUGUGGAAAUACGGACAACCAUUUCAAGACGAGGCUUAGCUCUAGUCAGCACUGAAGAAUAGAGAGAGUAUCACACUUCCGAGGAUAAAUAAACAAAAGGUGCAUAAUGCCGUGGUGAAAGAAGGGUUCAACGCCUCGAAUAUAAUUGGUAUAACAGGCCCCGGGGGUUACAUGUGAAAAUGACAGGAUGAAAUGCAAGAUGACCAAAAAAGCAAAGAGAGCGGCUCCUUGACACAGGCACCCUCAAUCAAGGCUGCAAGCCGUGCAGAAAUGCCCUCAGGUGGACCGACGAGUCGGUGAUUUACGGUUUGAUACGAUGGUCAACUCCAUCAAGUCAUUUUUCAAGAGUGAAGAUCAUACCCAUCACCCCCCACCCUGCGGUUGGGAGUUAGUCCAGGCUCAAGGGGGACUGACACACCACACUUGCCAAGGUCAAAAUUGUAUGGAAUCGCUGACAAAAUUGACAUUUACCAGAGUAUACAAUAUUGAU